rnacentral:rRNA from 1 species
UACAGAGGAUGCAAGCGUUAUCCGGAAUGAUUGGGCGUAAAGCGUCCGCAGGUGGUUUUGUAAGUCUGCUGUUAAAGCGUGUGGCUCAACCACAUAAGGGCAGUGGAGACUAUGAGACUAGAGUAUGUUAGGGGUAGAGGGAAUUCCCAGUGUAGCGGUGAAAUGCGUAGAGAUUGGGAAGAACACCGGUGGCGAAAGCGCUCUGCUAGGACAAUACUGACACUGAGGGACGAAAGCUAGGGGAGCGAAUGGG